rnacentral:rRNA from 1 species
AUUGAACGCUGGCGGCAUGCCUUACACAUGCAAGUCGAACGGCAGCACGGGUGCUUGCCCCUGGUGGCGAGUGGCGAACGGGUGAGUAAUACAUCGGAACAUGUCCUGUAGUGGGGGAUAGCCCGGCGAAAGCCGGAUUAAUACCGCAUACGAUCCACGGAUGAAAGCGGGGGACCUUCGGGCCUCGCGCUAUAGGGUUGGCCGAUGGCUGAUUAGCUAGUUGGUGGGGUAAAGGCCUACCAAGGCGACGAUCAGUAGCUGGUCUGAGAGGACGACCAGCCACACUGGGACUGAGACGCGGCCCAGACUCCUACGGGAGGCAGCAGUGGGGAAUUUUGGACAAUGGGCGAAAGCCUGAUCCAGCAAUGCCGCGUGUGUGAAGAAGGCCUUCGGGUUGUAAAGCACUUUUGUCCGGAAAGAAAUCCUUGGCUCUAAUACAGUCGGGGGAUGACGGUACCGGAAGAAUAAGCACCGGCUAACUACGUG